GACGAACGCUGGCGGCGUGCCUAACACAUGCAAGUCGAGCGGAGAUACCAAGUGGUUUACUAUGAUGUAUCUUAGCGGCGGACGGGUGAGUAACGCGUGGGCAACCUGCCUUACAGAGGGGGAUAACAGUGCGAAAGUGCUGCUAAUACCGCAUGAUAUUGUUAAAUCGCAUGGUUUGACAAUCAAAGGAGAAAUCCGCUGUAAGAUGGGCCCGCGUCUGAUUAGCUAGUUGGUGAGGUAAAGGCUUACCAAGGCGACGAUCAGUAGCCGAUCUGAGAGGAUGAACGGGCACACUGGAACUGAGAUACAGUCCAGACUCCUACGGGAGGCAGCAGUGGGGAAUAUUGCACAAUGGGGGGAACCCUGAUGCAGCAACGCCGCGUGGAGGAUGAAGGUCUUCGGAUUGUAAACUCCUUUGAUGAGGGACGAAUAAAUGACGGUACCUCAAAAACAAGCCACGGCUAACUACGUGCCAGCCGCCGCGGUAAUAC
rnacentral:rRNA from 1 species